CCCUCCCCUCUCCCUCGCGGCCCGACAAUUGCUGAGGCCAGCAGAGCCAGGGGAAAGACUUUGGUCACGUGACAUCGAGUUCCGAAAAGCGCCGAAGCCAUUGGAGGAAAGGGAUGGGUGGAACAGCUGGGCCUUCUUUAUGCUUCCCGGAGGAGAAGGGGAUAAGAAUGUUGGGUUUUACAAACAGCAGCAUAAAAAUCUUUAAAAUAAACUCCAUUCCAGCCAAGGUCCAAUUCAUACAUUGCUCUACAGCUCAAUCCUAACCAUGUCUAUUCAGAAGCAAGUCUACUGAAUUCAAUGGCAUUUACUCCAAGAUUGCUGGGACUGAGGAGAUACCUGCUGCAAGGGAAGAGGAGAACAACUUGUAGAGAUGUGAAGGCCUGGAAAAAAAACCUGGAAAACUUGAAAAACAAACACACUUUCCCCCAAGAAUUUUUCAAUUCCGCCCCCCCCCCAGACCUUCACAUCUCUAGGAACAAGUCACCACUUUCCUCCAGAAGGAAUGUUAUGGUUCUUUUCUGAAUGCCGAGUUGCAAGGUCUGCUUGACUACCUUGAAUCAUUACGGGCAAGCUGCUCCAGCUGAUUUCGCCAAAGUAUGUCAUCUUCUGUUUUGUUGAAGAACAUAAAUUUCACUGCCCUUAAAAAGAAAUUACAGCUUCAAUAUUUAAAAUCACAGCUGUUAGAAAUACUGCACACAUGCAGAACUCAUUGAAUAAUGCAACAAUUUAAUACCCUGGUACUCCUUGGUAAGAACUCGCAACAGUUUUUUAACUAUGCCACAUUGUGUAAUUUAACACCAGUGAAAGAUCCAUGAAAUGUUAUUGAUGCACAGUGGGGGGAAGGGAAGAUUCUGGCCCCUCUUUCUUCGCUUGUUCCUGAAAUGCUUUUGCCCUCCCACCAAGGAUAUCCACACUGUGCUUCUACCACUGCUCAAAUUUUUAUAGCUUAUACCCUAUCAUUUGUCUGCAGACCUCAGGGCAGGUUGCAACAAGAAAAACAAAUAUUAUAAAUCACUUUAAAACCAUCAAUUAACUACAUUCUGUGGUCCACGCACAUGGUAAGUCAAAAUGCACAUUUUCAGUUUGCACUGUAAUGCAGGUCUUCCCUAUGGCUGCCUGGCACUUUAAGAUUGUCUAGCAGGCAGAUGGAAAAAUUUGGGUAGUUAAUGCUGUGAUAGCCCCCCUCUCUGCCCAUUUAUUGUCACCUGGCUUGCUUUAUCCAUUAGUCCCUGGGCAUUUUCCUGGCUACGAUAUUGCCUUGAGAGUGGCUAAUUAAGUGCCACCUGUUAAUCAAGACCCACCUGGGUUUGGGACUCUUUAAAAUAUUACUACUGUCAAACAGUCCUUUGUCCUGCCACUUGACUAUCUACAGUGCUACAUUAUGAGUGACAAAACCAGAAGCCUGUUUGUAAGUAGCUGCUACAGGACACAUAACACUAGAACUAAAUGUUCUCUUUAUUUUUAUUUUUGUAAGUUCCAUUCUUUUACCUUUGUCCUCUUACCUCUUCCAAAAUAAACUACUUAAAAGUA